CAUGCAUGUGGUUCGACAUCCAGUGCCACCACCGCCAUAAAUAUCCUCACAUGCCAUGCCACCAUCGAGAUGGCCGUCAGCCCCACUGCUCGGACAGACACCACAUGCAUGCAGUUUGACAUCCGAAGGUGCCGCAGCUACCAUGUCACGACUUCUUAGAUUUGAAAUGCAUCCAAUGACUCGCGCCACUUCAGGAUCAUCAAAUUUUCUAUCACGG
rnacentral:lncRNA from 1 species